rnacentral:rRNA from 1 species
GGUUUAGGUUGUUGCAGUUAGAACGCUCGUAGUCGGAUUUCGGGGCGGGCCGACCGGUCUGCCGAUGGGUACGCACUGGUCGGCGCGUCCUUCCUUCCGGAGACCGUGCCUACUCUUAACUGAGCGGGGGCGGGAGACGGAACGUUUACUUUGAAAAAAUCAGAGUGUUUCAAGCAGGCAGCUCGCUCUUGCAUGGAUUAGCAUGGGAUAAUGAAAUAGGACUUUGGUGCUAUUUUGUUGGUUUCGAACACCGAAGUAAUGAUGAGAAGGGACAGUCAGGGGCACUCGUAUUCCGCCGAGAGAGGUGAAAUUCUCAGACCAGCGGAAGACGAACCACUGCGAAAGCAUUUGCCAGGGAUGUUUUCACUGAUCAAGAACGAAAGUUAGGGGAUCGAAGACGAUCAGAUACCGUCGUAGUCUUAACCAUAAACCAUACCGACUAGGGAUUGGAGGAUGUUCACUGAUUGACUCCUUCAGCACCUUACGGGAAACUAAAGUCUUUGGGUUCCGGGGGGAGUAUGGUCGCAAGGCUGAAACUUAAAGGAAUUGACGGAAGGGCACCACCAGGUGUGGAGCCUGCGGCUUAAUUUGACUCAACACGGGGAAACUUACCAGGUCCAGACAUUGUGAGGAUUGACAGAUUGAGAGCUCUUUCUUGAUUUGAUGGGUGGUGGUGCAUGGCCGUUCUUAGUUGGUGGAGUGAUUUGUCUGGUUAAUUCCGUUAACGAACGAGACCUUAGCCUGCUAAAUAGUGACGCGAACACUUCGUUCGCGGGCCACUUCUUAGAGGGACAACU